GACGGGACCCGCACAAGCGUGGAUGAUGUGGUUUAAUUCGAUGCAACGCGAAAACCUUACCCACCUUUGACAUGUACGGAACCCUUUAGAGAUAGAGGGGUGCUCGAAAGGGAGCCGUAACACAGGUGCUGCAUGGCUGUCGUCAGCUCGUGUCGUGAGAUGUUGGGUUAAGUCCCGCAACGAGCGCAACCCUUGUCAUUAGUUGCUACAUUCAGUUGGGGCACUCUAAUGAGACUGCCGGUGACAAGCCGGAGGAAGGUGGGGAUGACGUCAAGUCCUCAUGGCCCUUAUAGGUGGGGCUACACACGUCAUACAAUGGCUGGUACAAAGGGUUGCCAACCCGCGAGGGGGAGCCAAUCCCAUAAAGCCAGUCGUAGUCCGGAUCGUAGUCUGCAACUCGACUACGUGAAGUCGGAAUCGCUAGUAAUCGUGGAUCAGCAUGCUGCGGUGAAUACGUUCCCGGGUCUU
rnacentral:rRNA from 1 species